GUCCCUUGUUCCUAAACUCCUUCCCAGUGGCUGUCAGAGCCUUCUAGGAAUUACUUUUAACCUUUGUUCAUAGCCUCACUUCUAUUCAUGUCCCCACACAUCCCUCAACCCUUUUUCUAAGUUCAUGCCCACUAUGUCCUCCUGUUCCUUCACUUUCAUUAUUUUUCUUUCAGCCCCUUUGGCCAAGUUUUCCCUAACACUUUUUUUAGGGUCUCAUCCAUCCCUUAAGCCUCAGCUUAAAUUCCAUCCUGUAAGAAUUCUUACGAAGUUCCCUGAUCACAGACCUCUCCUGUGGUCCCCUGAGACUUUGUUGGUGCCUCAAUUGCAGUAGACACCCCUGGCUGCCUAAUUCCAGAAGAAUGUCUGUCUCUCUGUCUCCUUUCUAGGCUGUGAUCUCCUGGAGGGCUCGUCUCUCUGGCCCCUGAACACCUGGUACCAUGAUUUGCACAAAAAGUUCCUUUCUGAUUGGAAUUCUGGGACCUGUCUAUUUGUCCCAUAAGACCAGGUUCAGAUGCCAUCCCUGGACUCAAGGCACUGGGCUCACCAGAGAGCCAGGGUUAUUUUCUCAUCUGUCAGGCCCUUGGACUGUGGGUGCCCAAGGGCCAGGACCCUCGGGGUGCUGAGGAGGAGAACAGAGUGGAUUUUGAUCACUGCUCAGAGAAGCUCUCAAAAGCAGAGCCUCGGUCUGACCAGCCUCUGUACCCCAGAGCCCGGCAGAGCUUCUGACCUUGAACAGGUUUCAGCACCCACUUCCCAGGCACCUGGCAAUGGUGGAAUCAUCAGCCUGGAAGUUAUUUUGAAGGAGGAAGGACCAUGCAUCUCGGAUCCUGGGCCCAUCCUGCAGCACUCGCUACUCCUGGGGGCUGAUUGGGGGCCAGGGUGGAGUCCAGGGUGACCUGGGUCGCAGGGCCAGGAGAAGCAGCCAGGCCUCUAGACACUCUGGUCCUACAUGAUGACACUGCAGAGAGAUGGUGAUGAUGAUGAAGGCUCCUUUAUUAAGAGCCGACUGUGUGCUGGCGUGGCCCUUCACGUACCUCGCGGCACUUGUUUUGAGUGUCACGAGUGUCUCGUACAUGUGAGGAAGGUGAGGUGAGGUGAGGUGCCCAGUGUCUGCAGCUGGAGGCUGAGGCUGGUGUGAUGUGACAUGGGCCUGCCCUGUCUAAGGCAUCAGUUCUCAACCUUGGCCUGUGCAUCAGACUCAGCUGGAAGCUUCAAAAAAAUACUUAUGCCUGGGCCCCACCCCUAGAGUUUCUAUUCAAUAAGUGUGUGUGUGAUCUAGGCACCAGGAUUUUUAAAAGCUCCCCAGGAAAUUUUAAUGUUCAAUAAAGUUUGAGGCCCUCUGUCCUCCUGCCCCAGUGCUGUUGUUGUUUUUGCCUUUUGGUUCUCAUUCCUGAAGUGUUCAGAUCUGCACUCAGAACUCAAAGAAAUCUAGUGAAAAAAAUAAAAUAAAAUUAAGGAACGACAGCUCCA